rnacentral:rRNA from 1 species
AUGAACGCUGGCGGCGUGCCUAAUACCUGCCAGUCGAGCGAACGGACGAGAAGCUUGCUUUUCUGAUGUUAGCGGCGGACGGGUGAGUAACACGUGGAUAACCUACCUAUAAGACUGGGAUAACUUCGGGAAACCGGAGCUAAUACCGGAUAAUAUUUUGAACCGCAUGGUUCAAAAGUAAAAGACGGUCUUGCUGUCACUUAUAGAUGGAUCCGCGCUGCAUUAGCUAGUUGGUAAGGUAACGGCUUACCAAGGCAACGAUGCAUAGCCGACCUGAGAGGGUGAUCGGCCACACUGGAACUGAGACACGGUCCAGACUCCUACGGGAGGCAGCAGUAGGGAAUCUUCCGCAAUGGGCGAAAGCCUGACGGAGCAACGCCGCGUGAGUGAUGAAGGUCUUCGGAUCGUAAAACUCUGUUAUUAGGGAAGAACAUAUGUGUAAGUAACUGUGCACAUCUUGACGGUACCUAAUCAGAAAGCCACGGCUAACUACGUG